rnacentral:lncRNA from 1 species
CGGCAUGCGUGGGUUGGACGACCGUAUGACUUGUUUGGUCGGACCCAGGAGCGGUAGGGCUUGGCGUCACCAUGGUACCGUCCGUGCGUGUGUGGGUCGCCAGGAACUCGGCAUGAGACACUUCCGACUAGGUAGGUAGCGGAGUCCGCUGAGAACCAUCCGCCGGACCCUGACCACUCUCGCCACUACCAGAGCGUACACCUUUAGGUUUAUUAGCAGCAAGCCCACCUGCAGGUAUUGGCGGCUGACUCGACGUCCCAGUUGCCCGAGGCGCCUUGUCCCAGUUGAUGACGCCAUUUGAAUCCAACAUCUUAAAGUUGGCCGCGGCACCAGCCUUCGCCGCCUUUGUCAAAGCACGCUUGAAGUCCUGCAACUGUUUGAAGGCUGCCACGGCAGCGGCACCAGCCUGGCCCCUCUCGGCUUCCAGCCGGGCAACCUCGUCUUCCAACCGCUUCACCUCAGUGGCUUUGGCGGUGACAUCGCGUUGAAGAAUCUCUGCACGCUUACUCAUGGCCCCCACCUGCUCCUACAACAGAGCCAUAUCUUGCUUCAACUGUGCCACGCGGUCGUUCCGCUCCACAUCCUUGUCGACGACGACGUCUAACUUACCCCGAACAUCUAUCAAGUUGCACUCCGCCUUGGAUAGGAGGCGCUCGGUGUCCGCCAGCUUGUUGGAUGCCUCCCCCAACUCUCGUCGGAGACCUUCAAUUUCCUUCUUCAGCUGCCGCUCAACAGGAGACGACUUUGACGCCGCCAAGAAUAACGCGUGGAGCCCGACGGACAGAUGCCUGAAGGCCGAGCUAAACGGCGACUGCUGCAGGGCCUUCGGGGGCAUCGUCCGGUCCAUCCCGCCAAACCCGAGUCGCUCGCAGAGGUGGAAAAGAAACUCCAGCUAGGGGUUAGUUAGGAACUCGGCGUAUGAGGUAAACGAGUCUAGCCCGCUCGUCGGCACUUCCCGGCGGUGGCCAUAGUCACCUUCUGCGAGGCCUGCUUCACCCUCUUCUGUUGGCGGGGCCUGAUCGUCACCGAGUCAUCUGCCUCAUCACCUUCCUUGGCAUCGUUUUGCCGCCGUUUCUUUUGUAGAGGCCCUUGGGUGGCACCCGUAGUGGUAAGCCUCGGAGGCUCCUGUGGUUCCAACCCCGCGAUGGCAACGGGCUCCUUCAGUGGCACUAUCCUCUCCUGCUGGGGCCCACGUCGCUGGGCGAGCGCCCUUUCCCUGUCCUUCUCGGGAGCAGCGCCGGACUUACUCCUCCAACAGUCCCACGCUCCACGAGAGACUUGGGUAGUACGACGGCUUGCCCAGCGGCAGCAAGGUGAGAGUGAUGCGGCAUCAGUAUCACAACUUCCGUCUCUGAUCGGCUUAGCGCCUGAGACUAUGGGUCAACG